rnacentral:rRNA from 1 species
AGAGUUUGAUCAUGGCUCAGAACGAACGCUGGCGGCAGGCUUAACACAUGCAAGUCGAACGCUCGUAGCAAUACGGGAGUGGCAGACGGGUGAGUAACGCGUGGGAACAUACCCUCCGGUUCGGAAUAGCUCAGGGAAACUUGGAUUAAUACCGGAUACGGCCGAGAGGCGAAAGAUUUAUCGCCGGAGGAUUGGCCCGCGUUCGAUUAGCUAGUUGGUGAGGUAACGGCUCACCAAGGCGAUGAUCGAUAGCUGGUCUGAGAGGAUGAUCAGCCACAUUGGGACUGAGACACGGCCCAAACUCCUACGGGAGGCAGCAGUGGGGAAUAUUGGACAAUGGGCGCAAGCCUGAUCCAGCCAUGCCGCGUGAGUGAUGAAGGCCUUAGGGUUGUAAAGCUCUUUCGCUCGGGACGAUAAUGACGGUACCGAGAUAAGAAGCCCCGGCUAACUUCGUGCCAGCAGCCGCGGUAAUACGAAGGGGGCUAGCGUUGUUCGGAAUUACUGGGCGUAAAGCGCGUGUAGGCGGGUCUUUAAGUCAGGGGUGAAAUGCCAAGGCUCAACCUUGGAACUGCCUUUGAUACUGGAGACCUUGAGUCCGGGAGAGGUGAGUGGAAUUGCGAGUGUAAAGGUGAAAUUCGUAGAUAUUCGCAAGAACACCAGUGGCGAAGGCGGCUCACUGGCCCGGAACUGACGCUGAGACGCGAAAGCGUGGGGAGCAAACAGGAUUAGAUACCCCCGUAGUCC